UAUGUGAUCGUCUCUCGCAUAUCAAUAAGCGGAGGAAAAGAAACUAACAAGGAUUCCCUUAGUAACGGCGAGUGAAGCGGGAAGAGCUCAAAUUUGAAAUCUUAAAGGGUUUCCCUUUACGAAUUGUAGUUUAAAGAAGUGUUUUCUGUUGAGGUUUUGGUAAAAGUUCUUUGGAAUAGGACAUCAUAGAGGGUGAGAAUCCCGUAUUUGACCUUUACUUUCAACUUUGUGAUACACUUUCAAAGAGUCGGAUUGUUUGGGAAUGCAGUCCAAAAUGGGUGGUAAAUUUCAUCUAAAGCUAAAUAUUGGCGAGAGACUGAUAGCGAACAAGUACCGUGAGGGAAAGAUGAAAAGAACUUUGAAAAGAGAGUUAAACAGUACGUGAAAUUGUCAAAAGGGAAGCGUUUGACACCAGUGUUGUUUUUCUGAAAAUCAAUUAAAGAACUGUUUAUGCUAAGCUGUUUAGACUUUAUCAGCUAACUGUUUAGUUUUGAGCUUUUCUUUAAUGCACUUUUCAGUUAACAAGUCAACAUCAAUUUCUUUUGCUGUAAAAAAGCUUGAGGAAGGUGGCUUGAGAUUCGUCUUAAGUGUUUAUAGCCUCUUGCCUAUGCAGUCGGAGAGAUUGAGGUCUGCAGCGUAGAUCCUUCGGGGCUAAAUGCAUUUGUGCUAAGUUAUAGCAUUUUAUAGACAACUUGUUGACUAUGAUUUGUCUUGUAGCUUACUCGCUUAUGUUAUUUUACCUACGCUUAGGAUGUUGACUGAUAUGUAGUCGUA
rnacentral:rRNA from 1 species